GCGGGAAUAGCUCAGUUGGUUGAGCACGACUUUGCCAAGGUCGUGGUCGCGAGUUCGAGUGUCGUUUCCCGCUCCA
rnacentral:tRNA from 1 species